rnacentral:rRNA from 1 species
UGAACGCUGGCGGCGUGCUUAACACAUGCAAGUCGAACGGACUUAUUGAGAGCGUGCUUUCGGAUAAGUUAGUGGCGGACGGGUGAGUAACGCGUGGGUAACCUGCCGUAUGCUGGGGGACAACAGUUGGAAACGACUGCUAAUACCGCAUAAGCGCACAGAGUGGCAUCACUCAGUGUGAAAAACUCCGGUGGCAUACGAUGGACCCGCGUCUGAUUAGGCAGUUGGCGAGGUAACGGCUCACCAAACCUACGAUCAGUAGCCGGCCUGAGAGGGUGAACGGCCACAUUGGGACUGAGACACGGCCCAAACUCCUACGGGAGGCAGCAGUGGGGAAUAUUGCACAAUGGGGGAAACCCUGAUGCAGCGACGCCGCGUGAGUGAAGAAGUAUUUCGGUAUGUAAAGCUCUAUCAGCAGGAAAGAAAAUGACGGUACCUGACUAAGAAGCCCCGGCUAACUACGUGCCAGCCGCCGC